rnacentral:rRNA from 1 species
CCUUGACAUCCGGAGAACUUAGCAGAGAUGCUUUGGUGCCUUCGGGAACUCUGAGACAGGUGCUGCAUGGCUGUCGUCAGCUCGUGUUGUGAAAUGUUGGGUUAAGUCCCGNAACGAGCGCAACCCUUAUCCUUUGUUGCCAGCGGUUCGGCCGGGAACUCAAAGGAGACUGCCGGUGAUAAACCGGAGGAAGGUGGGGAUGACGUCAAGUCAUCAUGGCCCUUACGGCCAGGGCUACACACGUGCUACAAUGGCGCAUACAAAGAGAAGCGACCUCGCGAGAGCAAGCGGACCUCAUAAAGUGCGUCGUAGUCCGGAUUGGAGUCUGCAACUCGACUCCAUGAAGUCGGAAUCGCUAGUAAUCGUAGAUCAGAAUGCUACGGUGAAUACGUUCCCGGGCCUUGUACACACCGCCCGUCACACCAUGGGAGUGGGUUGCAAAAGAAGUAGGUAGCUUAACCUUCGGGAGGGCGCUUACCACUUUGUGAUUCAUGACUGGGGUGAAGUCGUAACAAGGUAAGCGUAGCGAG